rnacentral:rRNA from 1 species
UACAGAGGGUGCAAGCGUUGUUCGGAAUUAUUGGGCGUAAAGCGCGUGUAGGCGGCUUUGCAAGUCGGGUGUGAAAGCCCUCAGCUCAACUGAGGAAGUGCGCCCGAAACUGCAGAGCUUGAGUGCCGGAGAGGGUGGCGGAAUUCCCCCAAGUAGAGGGUGAAAUUCGUAGAUAUGGGGAGGAACACCGGUGGCGAAGGCGGCCC